CAAGUCUUCAUGUCGAUAACCAUUCAUUGAUUAGAUCUCUAUUUCAUCCUAGGAGCACAUGCGAUUUUUGAAAACGUCAACAUAUUGUUGGAUAACCGACGAUUCUAAGGUGUCCCUAAUGGUAGUCAUACUCUAAGGUGAUCUAAUGUAUUACCAUGAGCCCCCAUAAUCGACGUUGUUUGACUAACAAUUGUGCCCGCCACGACGCUUCAUCAGACGUUGAAGAGUGAAUAAUAAGAAAGUUAUCAUGUUGGGAUUGUAGCUAGCAAUCGCAGGUAUCUGAGGAAUGCUGAAUUUAAUCAAGGCCUUUGGAUGAAUUAACAGGUCGCUAAUGCAUUGACCUGAUGUAUUUAUCUUUUUAUCUUUUAUCUUAAUCCUUCUUAGGGAUCUCGUAUAACUAUCAAAAUAUAAAUCUUUUAUCUUAUAUUUGAUA